rnacentral:rRNA from 1 species
CAGCAGCCGCGGGAAUACGAAGGGUGCAAGCGUUAAUCGGAAUUACUGGGCGUAAAGCGUGCGUAGGCGGUGAGUUAAGUCUGCUGUGAAAUCCCCGGGCUCAACCUGGGAAUGGCAAUGGAUACUGGCAAGCUAGAGUGUGUCAGAGGAUGGUGGAAUUCCCGGUGUAGCGGUGAAAUGCGUAGAGAUCGGGAGGAACAUCAGUGGCGAAGGCGGCCAUCUGGGACAACACUGACGCUGAGGCACGAAAGCGUGGGGGGCAAACAGGAUUAGAUACCCCGGUAGUCCCUGUCUCUUAUAC